GUGUACACUUUUUUGGCAAUCCCCUUCGCGGGCAGCGUGGCUUCUAAGGCACGUUUCUUGCAACCGAAACCGGUGACGUCACGGCGCGAGUUGGUGGCGAAGCGGGCGGACGCGUGUCUGCAGUCUAGGCCGGCGCCCGACGGAGUGAUCUCCACUGGCAACACCACCGAGGACUGCCUGCAAUUGAACGUGUGGACGCCAGUCGACCCAAGCCAGCGCUCGGCCUACAUCACUGAGAAUCAGUUUUACCCACUGACAAUGCACAACUGUGAUGCUAAAUGCACGGCCACCCCCUCAGUCUUCUGCGAGAUGGCUCAAGAGCAAGGUGCAAAUUAAGGCAUUGACCAUGCCUCAUCUGAAAAAGAAAACAUGCCGACGCAAGAUGGCUCUCAAAAUAAUGCACGUAUUAAAGUUACAUCACAGUGCUUCAGAGGAUUGUGCAGUCGUGAGCCACUAACUACUUUGGCCACAAUGCAAGUGGCCAGUUUUCAUCACAUGCAACCUGGGCAGUCACUCCUGAAAGAACACUGGGCAGUUCAUGCACCCAACAUGAAGCUAAAUAGGUAGCCAGCAACUGGUGCUCUGGGAAAAACUGAGGCAAUUCUUCCAGAAAUACUACCUGGCCAAUCAGUACUACGACAGCAGCAAGUAAAUUAUGUGCAAAGUCCAAAGCAGGACACACAACCACCUGCCAGCACUUUAGGCAAACGUGGACUUAAAAUUGGUACUGGCCAGUCACUGCUAAAGCGCAAGCAAGAACUUUGUGACCUAAUACAAAGGAUGCACAGUCAAUCGUUCCUGGUGGGAUCACAAGAGAGUCCAGCAGCACAAGCAUAGGCCAAGGUCAAUCAUUGUUAAAGUCACGAGCAGAAAGAAAUGCUGAAACAGAGGCAGCAGCUGAUAUAUUGAUCCUGAAAAGGAGGCUCUUUGCAUCACAGCGGAGAGUCAGAGUGUUGGAAACCGAAAACAGGAAUCUCAAAGCAGGUAUUGCAGGCUACCCAGACAGCGACCAGGCACUUUGUCUGCAGAAAGGGACAAUGCUGGGUACAGCAUGGAGCACGGAAACUGUUGUAAAGGCACUCAAACUAAAGCUGUCAUGCCGCUCUCAAGGAUACAACGUGGCCCGUGAACUGGGUAUGCCUCUACCCUCAGAACGAACUCUACAGAGAAAAUUAUAAGGGUUCAAGUUUGCUCCUGGACUGCAGCUUGAAGUGAUAGAUUUGCUGAAAAUUAAGGUGUGUACUGUUCCUGGUUAUUCACUCUCUUCCUAUUACUCACUGUAUUCAUAUAGUCUCGCUAUACCUCUAGCACAUUUUGCUGUUCAAUUGUACAGAUGGCCCAGC